rnacentral:lncRNA from 1 species
GUUAGAUGUUCUAACUUUGCUAAUCUGGGUUUUGCUGAUGAUAUUGUGAGCCGCACAUGCAUCCGACCUCUAGGAGUCAUCCACACGAGCCCACGAAUUACGAUCAGAAAUCUUGGUCCAGGAAAUCAACACAGUAUGCUAGUACUGUGCUGAUCCUUCUUCGAUGGUCGAUCAGAUGCCUCCUUCUUCUUGAUUUGGAUUCUUCCAAAGAUGAGAAGUAGGAGAAGGAGUUUUAGAUAUGAAACACUCUCAAAAAACUCACAGA